AUCUGUGCUGUGCUGACUGUGGCCUGCUCCCAAAGCCAUAAAACAGGAGGGGGAACAUGAAGCUUAAAGAGAUAACCAUGGACUCUUCGCUAGGGUCCAGAGGCUCUGAGGUCUGUGCUGAUGGGGAGAAAAUUCAUUGAGUACCUCCACAUCAUGAUGCCGUCAAUAACUUAAAUUUUUUGAGCCCCUUUUAUGAUCCAGGCACCGGCCUGGGCUUCGCAGAUCACCAUCAGCUGCCACUUGUUGUCUACCUACAGCUGCUGUGCUCAGCAUUUAUUAAAGGCUCAUUUGUCCAGCUGAAUUGAACCCUUACAUCUAUCUUGUGAAUAUUCUUUGUGUGACUGGACUCGAAUUGGUUUAUUCAUUUACUCCUGGACAUGGGAGUUGUUCACCGUUUCUGGCUGAUGUGGGUGAUGAUGCUGUGAACGUCACUGUGCUUGUCUUCGUGUGGACAUACAUUUGAAUUUCUCUUGGUGGCUACGGGAUUUUGCAUUCCCAUCAACAACCCAGGGAUGCUCCUCUCGCUCCACAUCCUCGCCAACAUGUGAUGCCAUCAGCUGUCUUACACUCCGGCCAUUCUAAUGGCUCUUAGGGUCCUCAUGAGACUUGUGACCAGAAGAGCAGUGGGCAGUGGCAGCUCGCCCUGGACUUACCCCUGAACCUGUGUCCAAGGUCCCCUUUCCUCUGACUGUGCAGUGAGCUACCAACGGCCCCACCUUGGCGCACUUCUUCCCUGUAGCGUUUCUAGGAGCCGAAGCAGCCCCUCAAGGCUCUCUCCUCCUGCUCCUUCUAGCCUACAUCCUUCCUUUGUUUCACUGUC